UUCAUCCAAAGGCUGCUAGUGGAAGACUGACUUCCAGGCAACUAGGCUGAGGAUCUUAUGCCCACACCCACAGUGACACACCUACUCCAACCAGGUCACACCUGUUCCAACAAGGCCACACCUACGAAUGGUGCCACUCCCUGGUCCAAGAAUAUUAUACAAACCAUGACAGAUGGGAAGAGGAAGCCUUCUAGUUUGAGGAAAUUCAGGGCCUGCGAGCAUAGCCAGUGCACCCCAGGGCUUGGUCUGAGAAACACUGAGGGCAGUAGUGUGUGUCCACUCUAGACAUGGUUUCUCUCUAGAGCCCUGAGAAUUCAGCACCUUUGUGCCCCUGGCCAUUGCUGUGCUCCACGCUGGUAGGUUGUGGCCAAAGGACACUGGGUAACCUAGCAGAUGUGGGCCUUUCCCAUCAUGGAGACCAAAAGGCAGAUCCAGGUCUUACUGACAGACAUGGCAGUGGCUAUGGAGUACAUGGGUAUGGGUGCUAUAGAAAUUUAAGUGGACAUCCACUCAGCCUAGGGUCAGAGAAGAGUUUCUUCAGGAGUGAGGACUACGUGCUGGUUAGGAGAGGCUGAAACGGGCAGGCUUCUGACUGAGAGAGUGUCUCUCCUUAUCGCCUGCUGGAGGAAGACAACAAAGAGAAGGCUGAGAACUUAGGGCUCCCCACAAAAGAGCCAUGUGGCAGAGGAACACACACAUAAGGCACUUUACUGCCCUCAGCAAGAGCAUGAGCUGUGGCCCUCCAUAGCCACUUUGUGUGAGAUGAAGGGGAGGGAGGGAGAGAGGGAGGCAGAACAGUGGAGGACUUCAGCUGAGGAGGGCAGGAUGUGGGUGUUGGGAACCUGCUUUUGAGAAGCUUUGGGAGCUAGAGGGACCCCACCUUGUUGUUGCCUGCACAGGUUUGGGACAGGAUGACGGUGAGUUAACAGAUGUUGAGAGGAUGUGAGGAAGGCUAGAGAAUAAGGAGAUUAAUAGGCAUGGGAGGGUCUCUCCGGGACUGGUGGUGCCAUUGGUGACAAGUGUCAAGGGAGAGGAGGAUGAGGUCAGAGAAGACACAGCCAGCUUCUGAUGUAUUCAUGGUCUGUCCCAUGCCCUGUGCUCUGCAGCAACAGUAGGUUUAUUCUCCUCUCUGCCCGGCGGUGGCAGCCUUCAUAUUAGAAGUUCCUCUCAUACCCCUCUUUGGCUCCUAUGUUCUCUUCUGAAUACCUUCUUAAUGUCAUCAGUACUCUGGCAUGCACUCAGGGAGCUGAAACCUGUGGGUCUGCCUUCUGCUCUCCAUAUAAAGUAUACUCUAUGCCAGGGACUGGUCUAACCUGCAGAAACAAAGGAACAAGUCUCCUCUCUCAGGGGACAAUGACCUUAUGCCUCGCUUGUGUCUCAGUGUCAUUCUGUCAUGGGCUGCCUUAGGUGUGGAUUACAAGGAUGAGGUCCGUGUGCUUCAUUCGGCAAGGGCUGAGGCUGCUUCAUGGGCUGCUUCUUUCCAGCUGCCUUCGGCCCACUCCCUCACAGAACCCCCUGAACACAAAACAUCCUCCAAGCCAGCUCUCUCUAGGAGCCAUCCUCAUGUACAAACGCCAGCUGUACUGUUGGGUGGCUGCUGGUGCCAACCUCAUCCUCACCUUUCACAUAGGCACCCUCCUGUACUGUGCGGUUUUCACAUAGGCACCCUCCUGUACCGCGCGGUUUUCACAUAGGCACCCUCCUGUACCUCGCGGUUUUCACAUAGGCACCUCCUGUACCUCGCGGUUUUCACAUAGGCACCUCCUGUACUGUGCGGUUUUCACAUAGGCACCCUCCUGUACCGCGCGGUUUUCACAUAGGCACCCUCCUGUACCGCGCGGUUUUCACAUAGGCACCUCCUGUACCUCGCGGUUUUCACAUAGGCACCCUCCUGUACUGUGCGGUUUUCACAUAGGCACCCUCCUGUGCUUCGAGGUUUGAUAGGUGUCAGUUCACUGAGUGUAGGGUCAAACUCGCUGUGGUACAUACGGCGAACAAAACGGAAGUGACGAGAAGAGGUCCCAGAAGUAGAAGGAAAGCAAACUUACAAUUGGAUCUCCAAACAGAUUGUUUGACAGGAAAGGCAGGAGGGGGAGGCACUGGCUACUUAACUAGAAUUCCUUUGGGCUUUUCUCUUUAGGGGACCUCUCCAACACAAACCCACUAAUGGCAAGAAUGAGACACAGUCCUAUUACAUAGUUGUCUAUGAAAACUCUGUGGACUCAAAACAGUUGAUUAGUCUAAUGACCUUUGUUCUAAAGCUGAGUCUGACAUAUGAUAUUCCCCCUGGAUCCUAUCCAGGGGGAUUUAAUUUACUAAGGUGCCAGCGGGGUCUAGUGGGAUACCUUCAUGCAGAGGAGCUCCCACCUCCAGACAUGCAUCACCCCCAGGGUGAUGGGGAGUGAGCAGCUGUAGACUGUGAGAGGAUGGCACACAGGCAGCUCCGCAGGCAGGAGACUGGGGAUGGCACACCCUUGGUUUUGAGCUUAAUGGAGCUUUCUCCUCCAGUCUCACUCGACCUGGGGUAUGGAAGUUACACUUCCUAAAGAUUAGCUCACGAAGGUCUCAGAAGACUAAUAAUGACUCACGCCAGUGCCCUCUAUUUAGAGAAAGAAUAAGCAAGGCGCAGCGUGAACUUAACCUCUUCAGUUUGAACGCUGGUCGAAAUCUGAGCGUGACAAAGAUGUUAAACAGUGAGAGCUCCUGAGAAUUCAGUUUGGGGCAGGGGUGGGAACCAGGUGGGUAGACUGGAGUAAGUACAUUGCUGUAAACCAACUCAACAGUCCUACUCUGGAAACAAUGUGGACGAACUCUCAGGCCUAGAUGCUAGGAAGAGUAU
rnacentral:lncRNA from 1 species